rnacentral:rRNA from 1 species
AUUUUGCGCAUGGGGGAAACCCUGNCGCAGCAACGCCGCGUGAGUGAUGAAGGCCUUCGGGUCGUAAAGCUCUGACAGAGGGAAAGAAGUGUGGGGUGGCUAAUAUCCAUUUCACUUGACGGUACCCUCAAAGGAAGCACCGGCUAACUCCGUGCCAGCAGCCGCGGUAAUACGGAGGGUGCGAGCGUUGUUCGGAAUUAUUGGGCGUAAAGCGCGUGUAGGCGGUCUUUUAAGUCUGAUGUGAAAGCCCCGGGCUCAACCUGGGAAGUGCAUUGGAAACUGGGAGACUUGAAUACGGGAGAGGGUAGUGGAAUUCCUGGUGUAGGAGUGAAAUCCGUAGAUAUCAGGAGGAACACCGGUGGCGAAGGCGGCUGCCUGGACCGAUAUUGACGCUGAGACGCGAAAGCGUGGGGAGCAAACAGGAUUAGAUACCCUGGUAGUCCACGCCGUAAACGAUGAGUACUAGGUGUCGCGGGUAUUGACCCCUGCGGUGCCGCAGCUAACGCAUUAAGUACUCCGCCUGGGAAGUACGGCCNGCAAGGCUAAAACUCACAGAAAUUGACGGA